rnacentral:tRNA from 1 species
GCCUGGGUGGCUCAGUCGGUUGAGCGUCUGACUUCGGCUCAGGUCAUGAUCUCAUGGUCCGUGAGUUCGAGCCCCGCAUCGGGCU